AUACGGAGGGUGCAAGCGUUAAUCGGAAUUACUGGGCGUAAAGCGUACGUAGGCGGUUCGUUAAGUUAGAUGUGAAAGCCCCGGACUUAACCUGGGAACUGCAUUUAAAACUGGCGAACUAGAGUUGAGUAGAGGGGAGUGGAAUUUCAGGUGUAGCGGUGAAAUGCGUAGAGAUCUGAAGGAACACCAGUGGCGAAGGCGACUCCCUGGACUCGAACUGACGCUGAGGUACGAAAGCGUGGGUAGCAAACGGAAUUAGAAACCCUAGUAGUCC
rnacentral:rRNA from 1 species